UACAGAGGUGGCAAGCGUUGUUCGGAAUUACUGGGCGUAAAGGGCUCGUAGGCGGCCAACUAAGUCGGACGUGAAAUCCCCAGGCUCAACCUGGGAACUGCGUCCGAUACUGGUGGGCUUGAAUCCGGGAGAGGGAUGCGGAAUUCCAGGUGUAGCGGUGAAAUGCGUAGAUAUCUGGAGGAACACCGGUGGCGAAGGCGGCAUCCUGGACCGGCAUUGACGCUGAGGCGCGAAAGCUAGGGGAGCAAACGGG
rnacentral:rRNA from 1 species